rnacentral:lncRNA from 10 species
GUCAGUAUUUACCUCUAUUUUUCUGCAUGUUUAUCCUUCCAAUUUAGUUCAUUACUUCCUGCACCUUUGAUGUCAUAUACAUAAACAGGAAAUAACACAUGGUGGCCAGGAUGUAGAGAGAGCCACAGGACUUGUGAAUAAAAUCCACAGGCAAGGAUGUGGCGAUUCCUUUUGCAAUAUUGGAGGGAAUGCCAAACCCUAUGUUUGCUGUGGAAAAGAGUAUGUUAGUUCCUCAAAACAUCAAAAUGGUAUUGCCAUAUGAUUCAGCAGCUCCACAUCUCAGGAUAGCAAAAGAAAUGAAAGCAGAGUCUUGAAAAAAUAUUUACACAUCCAUAUUUGCAGCAGCAUUAUUGGCAAUAGCUAAAACGUAGAAGCAAUUGAAGUGUCCAACAACAGAUGAAUGGAUAAGCAAAAUAUGAUAUAUACAUACAAUGGAAUAUUAUUCAGUCUUAAACAUGAGGGAAAUAUUCUGACAUAUGUUGCAACUUGGAUGAAACUUGAGAAUAUUAUGCCAAGUGAAAUAAGUUAGUCAGUGAAGGACAAAUACAGUAUAAUUCCAUUUGUAUAAGGAACUUAAAGUGGACAGAGUCACAGAGAUAGUACAAUGAUGGUUGCCAGAAGCUGGGGGGAGGAAGACAUGGGGAAGUAUUGCUUAAUGAGUAUAGAGUUUCAGUUUCACAAGAUGAAACGAGUUAUGGAG